rnacentral:rRNA from 1 species
UCAGAUUGAACGCUGGCGGCAGGCUUAACACAUGCAAGUCGAGCGGAUGAAGGUAGCUUGCUACUGGAUUCAGCGGCGGACGGGUGAGUAAUGCUUAGGAAUCUGCCUAUUAGUGGGGGACAACGUUCCGAAAGGAGCGCUAAUACCGCAUACGUCCUACGGGAGAAAGCAGGGGACCUUUGGGCCUUGCGCUAAUAGAUGAGCCUAAGUCGGAUUAGCUAGUUGGUAGGGUAAAGGCCUACCAAGGCGACGAUCUGUAGCGGGUCUGAGAGGAUGAUCCGCCACACUGGGACUGAGACACGGCCCAGACUCCUACGGGAGGCAGCAGUGGGGAAUAUUGGACAAUGGGGGGAACCCUGAUCCAGCCAUGCCGCGUGUGUGAAGAAGGCCUUUUGGUUGUAAAGCACUUUAAGCGAGGAGGAGGCUACCUAGAUUAAUACUUUAGGAUAGUGGACGUUACUCGCAGAAUAAGCACCGGCUAACUCUGUGCCAGCAGCCGCGGUAAUACAGAGGGUGCGAGCGUUAAUCGGAUUUACUGGGCGUAAAGCGUGCGUAGGCGGCCAAUUAAGUCAAAUGUGAAAUCCCCGAGCUUAACUUGGGAAUUGCAUUCGAUACUGGUUGGCUAGAGUAUGGGAGAGGAUGGUAGAAUUCCAGGUGUAGCGGUGAAAUGCGUAGAGAUCUGGAGGAAUACCGAUGGCGAAGGCAGCCAUCUGGCCUAAUACUGACGCUGAGGUACGAAAGCAUGGGGAGCAAACAGGAUUAGAUACCCUGGUAGUCCAUGCCGUAAACGAUGUCUACUAGCCGUUGGGGCCCUUGAGGCUUUAGUGGCGCAGCUAACGCGAUAAGUAGACCGCC